AUGCAGAGAACUUUCCAGAGAUGGAUUGGUGCCUUCGGGAACUCUGACACAGGUGCUGCAUGGCCGUCGUCAGCUCGUGUCGUGAGAUGUUGGGUUAAGUCCCGUAACGAGCGCAACCCUUGUCCUUAGUUACCAGCACGUUAUGGUGGGCACUCUAAGGAGACUGCCGGUGACAACCGGAGGAAGGUGGGGAUGACGUCAAGUCAUCAUGGCCCUUACGGCCUGGGCUACACACGUGCUACAAUGGUCGGUAACAAAGGGUUGCCAAGCCGCGAGGUGGAGCUAAUCCCAUAAAACCGAUCGUAGUCCGGAUCGCAGUCUGCAACUCGACUGCGUGAAGUCGGAAUCGCUAGUAAUCGUGAAUCAGAAUGUCACGGUGAAUACGUUCCCGGGCCUU
rnacentral:rRNA from 1 species